rnacentral:rRNA from 1 species
CCUAGGCAGCAGUGGGGAAUUCUGGACAAUGGGCGCAAGCCUGAUCCAGCAAUGCCGCGUGAGUGAAGAAGGCCUUCGGGUUGUAAAGCUCUUUUGUCAGGGAAGAAACGGCUGAGGCUAAUAUCCUCGGCUAAUGACGGUACCUGAAGAAUAAGCACCGGCUAACUACGUGCCAGCAGCCGCGGUAAUACGUAGGGUGCAAGCGUUAAUCGGAAUUACUGGGCGUAAAGCGUGCGCAGGCGGUUUUGUAAGUCUGUCGUGAAAGCCCCGGGCUUAACCUGGGAAUUGCGAUGGAGACUGCAAGGCUUGAAUCUGGCAGAGGGGGGUAGAAUUCCACGUGUAGCAGUGAAAUGCGUAGAGAUGUGGAGGAACACCGAUGGCGAAGGCAGCCCCCUGGGUCAAGAUUGACGCUCAUGCACGAAAGCGUGGGGAGCAAACAGGAUUAGAUACCCUGGUAGUCCACGCCCUAAACGAUGUCUACUAGUUGUCGGGUCUUAAUUGACUUGGUAACGCAGCUAACGCGUGAAGUAGACCGCCUGGGGAGUACGGUCGCAAGNUUAAAACUCAAAGGAAUUGACGG